rnacentral:rRNA from 1 species
GACGAACGCUGGCGGCGUGCUUAACACAUGCAAGUCGAACGUGAUUUUUGUGGAAAUUCUUUCGGGAAUGGAAAUGAAAUGAAAGUGGCGAACGGGUGAGUAACACGUGAGCAACCUACCUUACACAGGGGGAUAGCCGUUGGAAACGACGAUUAAUACCGCAUGAGACCACAGAAUCGCAUGAUAUAGGGGUCAAAGAUUUAUCGGUGUAAGAAGGGCUCGCGUCUGAUUAGCUAGUUGGAAGGGUAAGGCCUACCAAGGCGACGAUCAGUAGCCGGUCUGAGAGGAUGAACGGCCACAUUGGAACUGAGACACGGUCCAAACUCCUACGGGAGGCAGCAGUGGGGAAUAUUGCACAAUGGGGGGAACCCUGAUGCAGCGACGCCGCGUGAGCGAAGAAGGUUUUCGAAUCGUAAAGCUCUGUCCUAUGAGAAGAUAAUGACGGUAGCAUAGGAGGAAGCCCCGGCUAAAUACGUG